rnacentral:misc_RNA from 1 species
UCCGAGUUGUCCCCGGCAGUCCUCUUAGAGUCCCCGGCAUUACCCGCUGGCAACUAAGAGCAGGGGUUGCGCUCGUUGCGGCACUUAAGCCAACACCUCACGGCACGAACUGACCCCGUGUUUCCACGGGUAUGACCGACAUGUCAAACCCAGGUAAGGUUCUUCGCGUUGCGUCGAAUUAAACCACAUGCUCCGCUGCUUGUGCGGGUCCCCGUCAAUUCCUUUGAGUUUUAGCCUUGCGGCCGUACUCCCCAGGCGGGGCACUUAAUGCGUUAGCUACGGCACGAGAGGAGUCGACACCUCCCACACCUAGUGCCCAUCGUUUACGGCUAGGACUAC